UACGAGAGGCCCAAACGUUAUUCGGAAUUACUGGGCUUAAAGAGUUCGUAGGCGGCGCAGAAAGUAGGGUGUGAAAGCCCUCGGCUCAACCGAGGAAUUGCGCUCUAAACUACUGUGCUUGAGGGACCUAGAGGUGAGCGGAACUGAUGGUGGAGCGGUGAAAUGCGUUGAUAUCAUCAGGAACACCGGAGGCGAAGGCGGCUCACUGGGGGUCUUCUGACGCUGAGGAACGAAAGCCAGGGGAGCGAACGGGG
rnacentral:rRNA from 1 species